ensembl:lncRNA
UUAUUUUACCAGCAAAAUCAGUUUAUUUGGGAAUAGGAAAGGAAUUGCAAUUUGGGACAAGCACACUAUAGCAAAAGCCACAGUCAAGUCUAGCACACAAAGGAGAGGGACUUUAUUUUAUAGAGAAAAAGGAGGAAGUUGGGAGGGUUGUUUUGAACAGAAGCCCAUUGGUGGAAAACAAGGUCUUGUUCAGGGUGGUGACUGUUUCUCGUUGGCUGGGUUGCUGGAGUGGUCUUUCUUGUCUGGAAGGCAGUGGACGUCUCUUCCGGGGCCUGUGACGGACGAUCUUUCCUGGAAUUGACGCAGAGCGGUAGUGCUGAGGGCUCCCCCUUCUGGCCUCCCCACUCCAUUUUGUGUAAGGUUUCCCUUUAUUAAUUUUCACACCUUGAAGAGUCUGUUGAUAGAAACAGAGACAUUCAAGGCGAUUCUGUGAGAGCUUCUGAAAGAGUCAGGAGGGCUGUAAGAAAGCGUCUGUUCCCUUAAGGAACAUGUAUAUUAUCUGCACAGAAUGUUGGUGUGGGGCCUGGUUUACGAACGCUGAAGGUGCUGCUGGGGAGGCUUUCGAGGAAAUGAUGAACACGUUAUUGGACACUGGCAGAAAAGCAGUGCUUGUUAUAAAGUGACGGAAACUUGGCAGAAUUGUGUUCUGUUGUCAGGUAGAAAGUAGAACUUACAAGGGGUGAACUUGGAUAUUUUGGUGAGGAGAUUGCCUAGCAAAAUGUGGAAGGUGCAGCCUGGUUUCUCUUUCCUGCUUAUAGGAAAAUGCAAGAGGAAAGAGGUAAAUGGAGGAAUGAAUUGCCGGAGAGAUUAGGAGUGUGACUUGCAGAUCUAACCAACCGUUUCCACAGAAACCCUGCCAGCGGGACUGAAGUAGGAGAGAAAACAGAGAUACAGAGACACACAGCAACACGGGAGAAGGCCGUGUGAAGAUGGAGACAGAGACGGGACUGAUGCGCCUGCAAGCCAAGGAUUGCCCAGGGUGGCCAGCAGCUGGUGGAAGCUAGGAAAGAAGCGUGGAAGUAUAACCGAAAGUUCAGUCCCUGAACCCGAUGCCAAUUCAAAUAACGAGAACGGUCUUGAGUGGAAGAGGAAAGUCUUUACUAUGCCAGGCACAGGGAGCAAAGCAAGGGCUCAUGCCUCAGAAAUUGCUGGCUCCCCGACAAGGAAUGGGUAGGGGUUUUUAUUUGGGGUUUUGGGUAGGUGAGGGGGAACACGUAGCUUGUGCAGCUCGGUGCUUUUCCACCAGCCUGCGUUUGGCCUUGAGAGGCUGCUUGCAGUGAGGCGGGGGUGGGGGGUGGGGGGAUAGGAGGAUGGCAGGUGGGCGUCCUUCAUCGUUGUCUCUUGUCUCGUCUUCCUGUUUGAGGCAGGUUCGUGCGCCGGGAGUGAGGAGUUGAGGUCUGGGAAGCCUGCCCUCCUUGAUAUUCUUGAGACAGCGGCUUUCCUGGCAGACUUCAAGGACAUAUGAUCAGCUAAACUUUAGUGUGCCUCCCAUUCCAGGCCACCUGGGCUUUUCACAAUUUGUAACUCCCAUUUAGUUAUAAAGCUCAAGGAGGCAAAGGUUAAAGAAAGAGGUGUUUACAUAUGAGCGGAGCUAGAGAAGCAGGAAAGGGGGUGGGGGGGUUAGUUUUAACCCCAUAUACGCUGCGUUCAAUGUGGGGGAACAGAUAUCAGGGCUCAUGUUAAGAGCCUGUAGCAGAAAUCUCUGUCAGAGGCUCCAGUAGGAACCAACCCUGUCAGCACCUCGAUUUUAGACUUCCAGCCUCUAGAGCUCUGAGAGAAUAGAUGUCUGUUGUUUUAAACCCCCAGGCUGUGGCAGUUUGUCAUGGCAGCCCUAGGACACUAACACACAGACUUUUAGAAGUAAUGACAUGGCAAUGACCUUUGGGGAGGCAGGCACGUGAAAGGCAGGCACGUGAAAGGGUGGACAGCAGUAAGCUCCUGGAGGACAAUUUGGGCAAUAUCCAUAAAAAUGGACAGGCAUGCGCCACUGACAAAGUAACCCUACUUCACUGUUGGUCACAUACAUUGUAACGUUGUUUGAAACAAUAAGCAGGAGUCUGGAUAGAUAUAUUAUGGAACAUCCUUUCAAUGCAAUACCUCACAUAAAGAACACAACAGUGUAACAUUUCAUUUCUUCAAAAAAGAGAUUUGAGGCACAUAUGGUGAAAUGUUUUUUAGAAUAAAAUCACAUCAUGGGGAUGCAAUAGCAAGAUAUAUAAUGGGGGGCCAGCACCCUGGCCAAGGGGUUAAGUUCGUGCUCUCUGCUUCGGCAGCCCGGGAUUUCGCUGGUUCAGAUCCUGGGCGCAGACAUGGCGCCGCUCAUCAGGCCAUACUGAGGAGGCGUCCCACGUGUCACAACUAGAAGGAACCGCAACUAAAAAUAUACAACUAUGUGCUGGAGAACUUUGGGGAGAAGAAGAAGAAGAAGAAAGAUUGGCAACAGAUGUUAGCUCAGGUGCCAAUCUUUAAAAAAAUAUAUAGCUCUAUCUAUCUAUCUAUCUAUCUAUCUAUCUAUCUAUUUAUCUAUCUAUCUACACACACACACACGCAUACACGCACAAUGUUGCGGAGACCUCCAUAGGACAAACUAUCCAAUUUCUUAAACAAGUAAAUUACAAGGAAGGAAAAAACAGAGGAAUGAGACACCUAUAGCUUAAAAGAGAUUGAAAAGGAUUCUGUUCCUGCUGUGCCAGAGUAAGCACCUACUGGAACUGACCUGUCUGCAGAGAACUAGAAACUCUGAACAAAAUUAAAUAAAACAAAGCAAUGACCAUAAGAUACUAGAGAGCGAAGAGUCUCUGGAGAGUAGUCGACACCGGAGAGAAGGGCUAACUUGGAAUGAAUUUCCUGUUUCUAUAGCUUUUAGCUUAAAGGUGAGCAAUAGUCCGUGUGGCAUGGGGUGGCUAAAACUCCAAUAAAAACCCUGCAGUCUUUCUGACCUCAACACCUGGAGGACAGAGUUCAGGCAAACCACAGCUGCUAGAAAGUGAGCAAGGGAUUCUGGAAAAAAGAGGAGACAGAGAAAAGAAGCCCUAAAUUCUCCUGUAAGGAGCCCGUAUAGACGGUUCCCCAGUCUCUGGCUUAUCCCUGAACGGCGCCUGCGCCGGCAGGCUCGAAGCAGCCCAGCAAAGAAUAGAGAACUGAACUGAGAUUUGAGCAGCCAUCCAAAAAGACAGAAUCUAAAGUCUGAGUUCAAGUGAGCAGGUUAAUUGUCUACUAAAAAAGACAGUUUUUUCUAAGACACUCUUCAGAAGACUGUAACAGAGUUUAGAGUCUCCACGACAUACCAGUCACAUUAUCUACGUCACAAUAAAAAAUUACUCCACUCUGAAGAGCCGGGAAGAAAUGACCCAUUCUCAAGAGAGGAAAGCAUCCUUAGAGACUACUCCCAAGAUGACCCAGAUAUUAUAUAGCAGACAAGAAUUUUAAGGCAGUGAUCACAGUUAUGCUCAAUGAUGUAAAGAAGAAGUCAGCAAAUUUUUUCUGUAGAAGGUCAGAUAGCAAAUGUUUUUGGCUUUGUGAGUCACACAGGAUCUCUGUUGCAACUGCUCAACCCUGAAAUUGUACUGUGAAAGCAGUCAUAAGAUAGUGUGUGUAAACAAAAGAUAUAGCUGCUUUUCAGUAAAACUUUAUUUACAAAAACAGACAGUGAGCCAAAUUAAAUCCACAGACUGUCAUUUGCUGACCCCUGACAUAAAGAAAAAUAUCUCACAAUGAAUGAAAAGAUAGGAAACCUCAGCAGAGAAAUAAAAACUAAAAAAAGAACCAAGAGGAAAUUCCACAACUGAAAAACAGGAUGCCUAACAUAAAGAAUUCACUGGAGGGGCCAGCCUGGUGGUGCAGCAAAGUUCCCAUGUUCUGCUUUGGUGGCCCGGGGUUUGCCGGUUGGGAUCCCGGGUGCGGACAUGGCACUGCUUGUCAAGCCAUGCCAUGGUGGGUGUCCCACAUAUAAAGUAGAGGAAGACGGGCAUGGGUGUUAGCUCAGGGCCAGUCUUCCUCAGCGAAAAGAGGAGGAUUGGCAGCAGAUGUUAGCUCAGGGCUAAUCUUCCUCAAAAAAAAAAAAAAAGAAUUCACUAGAUUGGGUUUAACAACCAAACAUAGAUGACAGCAAAGUAGUAAGUGAGCUUGAGGGUAGGGCAAUAGAAAUUAUUCAAUCUGAAGAAUAGGAAAAAUAAAAACCAAAUAGAACCCCAGGGAUCAAUGGGACAAUAUCAAAAAGGGUAACAUAAAUGCAAUUGGACUCCCAGAAGGACAGAAGGCGGGGAGAGAGGGUUAAAAAAAAAAAAAAAAAAAAGAAGAAGAGGAAUUGAUAGCUUAAAACUCAACAAUAAGAAAACAAACUCUGAUUUUAUUUUUUUUUAAGAUUUUUUUGUUUUUCCUUUUUCUCCCCAAAGCCCCCCAGUAUAUAGUUGUAUAUUUUAGUUGUGAGUCCUUCUAGUUGUGGCAUGUGGGACGCUGCCUCAGCAUAGCCUGACGAGCAGUGGCAUGUCUGCGCCCAGGAUCCAAAGCGGUGAAACCCUGGCCACCGAAGUGGAGCGUGAGAACCCAACCACUCGGCCACGGGGCCAGCCCCAUAACUCUGAUUUUAAAAUGGGCGAAAAAGUUUACCUGGCAGAUGAGAUGCCGUGAUCACAAAGGUGGUUUCCCCAGGACAAGGCUCAUCCAAUGCUCACCCCUGUGAUUUCCCCACGUGUCCUAGGAGGGGACUGCUCUGUGUUCACGUUCUCCCCUGAAAAAAAUGGGCAAAAAGCCUGGACAGACACCUCACCAAGGAAGAUAUACAGAAGGUACAUAAGCCAAGUAACUCAUGAGUCAAAGAAAUAAUCACAAGAAAAAUUAGAAAAGAUUUUGAACUGAAUAACAAAAAUAUCAAAAUUUGAGGAGCUAAGGCAAUGCUUAGAGGAAAACUUAGAGUCCUAAAUGCCUGUAUGAGAAAAGAAGAAAUAAGUGCCUAAAGUCAAGUACCUGAGGAUCAACCUUAGGAAGCUGAAAGCGAAGAGCAAAGUAACCUCAAAGUAAGUAGAAGAAAGGAAAUUCCAGUUCCAGAAACAAAAAACAAAACAAAACAAAAUAAUUGUUAAAACAGCAAGGCCAAAAAGUAGUUCUUUGAAAAGAUCAACAAAAUUGAUAUACCUUAGCUAGAGCAAUUAAGAAAAAACAGAAAUACACAAGUUAGUAAGAUUAGGAAUGAAAGAGGGCUAUUGCAACAGAAAUUGACAGCAUUAAAAGAAGAAUUAGAGAAUAUUCUGAACAAUGUCAGCGCUACAAAUUCAACAGGUUAGAAGAAAGGGACAAAUUCCUUGUAAAAUGCUGACACAAGAUGAUAAAAUAGAAAAUAUAAAUAGAAUUGUGUCUAUUAAAGAAGUUGAAUUCAUUAAAAAAAAAAAAUCUUCCACAAAGAAACUCUAGGCCCAGAUGAUUUUACUGGUAGAUUCUACCAAAUAUUUAAGGAAGAAAUAACACAUAUCUUAAACAAAUUAUUUUUAAAAACAGAGGAGGAUGGAACACUUUCCAAGUCAUUUCAUUGAGUCCGUAGAACUCUGGUUCCAAAACUUAAAAAACACAUUUUAAAAAUUGCAAGCGAAUAGUCUUCGCUUGGGUGGAAAACUCCAUAAGAAAAUAUGAGCAAAUUCAAUCUAGCAGCAGAUGAAAAGGAUAAUACAUUAUGAGCAAGUGGGAUUUAUCCCAGUCAUGCAAAAUGGGUUUGGCAUUUGAAAAUCAAUGUAAUUCACCAUACUAGCAUCAUAAAGGAUAACCAUACUUCAGUAAAUUCAGGAAAAGCAUUUGACAAAACUCAACACAUUCACAAUAAAAACUGUUAGUAAACUAGGAAUAAUAAGGAAAUUCCUCAAUCUGAUAAAGCCCAUCUAUUAAAAAAAAAAAACCUACCGUUAAUAUCCUGUUUAAUAGUGUUCCGUAAGACUGGGAACAAAGUAAUACCAAAUCUAUUUAACAUUGUACUGGGGGUCCUAGCCACUGCAAUAAGGCAAGGGAAAAAAGGCACAAAAAUCUGAGAGAAGAAUUAAAACUGACUCUCUUUGUUGAUGACAAGAUUAUUUAGAUAGAAAAUCCUACGGAUUCUACAGCUACUAGAACCACAGGAUACAAAAUUACUGUCCAAAAUUUAACUGUAUUUUAUAUACUGAGAGCAAACAACUGGAAAUAAAAUCUUAAAACAUUUCCAUUUAUACUAGUCUCCCCCAAACCGUGAAAUUAGAAGUAACAAGAGACUUGCAAGACCUACACUGAAAACUAUAAAACAUUGUUGAGAGAAAUUACGGGAUAUUUAAAUCAACAGAGCAAAAUGCCAUGCUCAAGAUGUGGAAGGCACACUACCCCGAAGACACCAACUUCCUCCCGCACGGAUCCAUAGGAUUGGCACACUUCUUCUUAAAGGGCUGGAUAGCAAUUAUUUUAGGCUUGUGUGCCAUAUGGUCUCUGUUGCAACCUCUUAACUCUGUCAUUGUAGCGUGAAAGCAGCCACAGACAAUAAAGAAAGGAACAGGCAGGGCUGUGUUCCAAUAAAACUUUAUUUACAAAAUAGGUGGCUGGCUGCCACGGGCUGGGUUUGCCCAAAUUUAUAAAUUGAACACAAUCUCAAUUGUAAUCCAAGCAGGAUUUUAGUGGAAAUUCACAGUCUGAUCCUAAAAUUUAUUUGAAAAUUCAAAAGACUUAGAAUAUCCAAAGCAGUCUAAAAAAUGAAGAAGAAAAAGAACUUACAUUAUCUUACUUUAAUACCGACCAUAGAACCACCAUAAUCAAGAAAGUGUGGUCCUGGCGAAAGGACCGACAGACCAACAGAAUAGAAGGGAAAGCCCCGAAAUGGAGCCGUAUUUCCACAGUCAGUUGAUUUUGAAAAAGGCAUCAAAGCAAUCCAAUGAAGAAAAGAAAAUCUUUUCCACAAAUGGAUCUGGAAUCGCCAUACGUUCUUACGGAAAAAAAUGAGCCUCAGUGCCCAUUUCAUACCACACAAAACUCAAAAUGAAUUCAAGACGAAUCAUAGUGAUAAGCAUACUAGACAAAGCCAUAAGCUUCUGAAGGAAAACAGGAGAAUGUCUUCAGGAUUUGAGGGGUCGACAAAAAUUUCUUAGGUCACAGAGAAUAAGAUAAAAUUUGAUAAAUGAAAUUUUAUUAAAUAAAAAACUCCUGCUCAUCAUCAGGUUUCGUUAAGAAAAAUAAAUAGGCAAGCCACACUGGGAGAAAAUAUUCGCAAAACAUAUAUCUGAAAAAGGACUAGUGCCCAGAAUAUGCCUAUUUUUAAAAUAGGCAUAUAGUCCUUUUGCAGAACGCCUAUUUUUAAAAAGCCUCCAAUCAAUAAGGCUGAGACUAGCAACUAAAUUUUAAAACAGGCAAAAGAUUGGAACAGGCACUUUACUGAAGAAGAUGUAUGAAUAGCCAAUAAUGAAAAAUAUUCAACAUGACUAUGUUCAACAUCAGGGACGUGUAAAUUAAAACUAUAGCACACAUCCAUUACACACGCAUCAGAACGGCUAAAAUUGAAAUACCUGACAGCAUUAAAGAUUUCUGAGGAUGUGGAGCUGGAAAUCUCAGACGUUGUUGGUGGGAACGUGAAAUGGGACAACCGUUUUGGGAAAAGGUCUGGGAGUUUCUUGGAGAACUAAACGAUGCCUACCCGAUGACACAGAGUUCCACUCUCUGAUGCGUGCUGAGAGAAAUGAAAGGACAUUUUCACAAAAAGUCUUGCACGGUCAUGUUCACAGCCACUUUAUUCAUAACAGCCCCCAGUUGGAAAGAGCCCUCGUAGCACCAGUAGGAGCACGUUGGAACAAACCGCGGUUCGUUCCCUCACUGGAAUCUACUCACCAACGGGAAGGAACGAGCUGCCGCUGCCCACAGUAAAGGUGAACCUCAGAAACAUUGCCCUGAGUGAAAGGAGCCUUACACAAAGGAAGCGUAGAGUAUGACCACAUUUAUAGGAAGUCCUAGAAGAGGCAAAAUAAAUCUGCGUUGGAAGAAAAUCAGAACAGGGGAUGCCUCUAGGAGACUGCAGGUGGGGAUUGAAUAGAAAAGGGCAUGAGGGUACUUUCUGGGUUAUGAUGAUCUUCUGUAUCUUGACAUAUUUCAAAUUAUACUCAUGUACGUUUUUGUCAAAACACAGAAUAUGACAGCUAAUAUGUGCACAUUUCAUUGUAUAUAAUAUCCCCCCCUUUUUUUUUUUGCUGAGGAAGACUGUCCCCGAGCUAACAGCGUGCCAGUCUUCCUCUAUUUUGUAUGUAAGAGCCGCCACAGCGUGGCCUGGUGAGCCGUGUAUGUCCACGCCCGGGAUUCGAACCCACAAACUGCAGGCCGCAGAAGGGGAACGCGCAAACUUAACCACUAUGCCACUCAGUGGACCCUCCAUUUUUUUAUUGUGGUAAAAUAUGUUACAUAAAGUUUUCAUUUUAACCAUUUUUAAGUGUGCAAUUCAGUGCCAUUAAUUACAUUCACAAUGUUGGGCAACCGUCACCACUAUACUUGAAACCUCAUCGCCCCAAACAGAACUGUGUCCCCAUUAAGCAGUAACUCCCCACUUCCCCCUCCCCCAGCCCCUGUAACCUCUCAUCUACUUUCUGUCUCUAGAAUUUGCCUAUUCUAGAUGCCCGGAGCUGCGCUGUGCUGGGAGACGGAGCUGAGCUGUCAGUGCUGGGGCAGCGGGUGAAAGCAACAAGCCAAAGACGAAAGGGGGAAGCUUUAAUCACUUACUGCGGUGACAGAAGCGAGAAGGCACCGACGCCCCGUUCCAUCUUCCCCCAUGAGUGGCGCACCUGUGGAGGGUCAGGUGGAGCAGAGCACGUGUUGAGGGGACCCCACAGGGAGGAGGAGGGGUGGGUGUGGAGGAGGACAGCGGGGAGUGGAGGAGCACUGGGCCCUGAGUCAGGGGGGCAGUAUCUUGGUGGUCCCCCCUCAUCCCCACCUAAAGAGGCCUCACAGAGGCGCCUGGAGAAGAGCCCUGCCUGAGGUCGCAGAUAGCGACCUAGGAAUGGAGGCACCCGGCUAGGAAUGUAAAUGGGCGAGGAGAAGGCCGGCCAGGGGCAGAGUCCUCGCCUGCAGCUCCCUCAGAGCCCGCAGUGCCCGCCGCCGGGCCGGGCUGCUGGGGGAAGGGAGCUUCCCCACCCCUCCCCGCAUGGCCACCAGGGAAAGCGUUUGUAAUGGCCUGUGGCGGCCAAAAAGUCGCACAAAGACGUUUAACCCGGAGCCCGACUCCUCACUACAUAUUUCAAGCUCCUGGCCCCCACCCGAGAGGCUCUAACGCAGCAGGUUUGUGGUGGGGCCCAACGGCUCUAAAUCUAACAAAUGUCGCCACGGUCCAGACUGCGCUUUGAGAACCACGGAUAUCGAGGACAGAGCCCAGGCUGAGAGAGCUAACAUGGCAGAGGGAGUUUCAGGGCCUGACCUGGUGGCUGAGCAUGCGAUGUACAUCUGCUUUAAAGAUUUCCUAUGUCUCAAAGACAAGAACAAUGUUCUUAAAGAUCAGGAUGUAACUUCCCCCACACGGGCAUUUCUUUAAGGAUAAGCUUCUCUCCCUCCACUACGGACUGAUUGCUGACCUGCUGUGCUCACCUUGUGACCACCUGUGUUCACCAAAUUGCGGUGCCAGUGAAGCAAUCUCGUGACUAUUCUAAAAGGGACAUUCCUGUCACAUGUGAUGUAUGCUCUUUGUUCCAAGAUGAUAUAUAACCACACUGUACACCCCACUUCUUUGGCGCCCUUCCUGCCUCGGAGAAGGACCUAGUCCCCAGAUCUGGCUCAUAAUAAGCUCACCCCAAUUUUCAUUUAUAGAUGGACUAUGGACUAUUUGUGUUGACACUGGCAAGAAGGGAAGGAAGGGAGAGACAAGUUAAGUCACUCUUCUCAGGAAUAUCAAUGCUGACGCCUCCUGGGAACCAGGAGAAAAUGGAAGCUGAAGGGCCCGCCCCAGAUGUCUGGGGGGUGGGGCAGCCCUGCAGCACCGGCACCAGCUGCCCGGAGAGUUGGGGACACGCCAUUCUGCAGCAUGGCUGCCCUUCCCGAGCCCCGGGCUCCUGUUCCAAAGAGUGCCCAGGUUUAGACUUCUGACUUCCUUGCCAUGUGAGGCCAGAGUCACAGAGACGCUGACGGGAGAGAGAAAAAUGUCACUCCUCACGCCACCUACACUGUUAUCCUGGCACCAUCUCUGGGGCAGCUGUCAGUAGAUUUUCCCACGAAUUCUGGAGUUGUCUUAUAAACAACACGAGACACCACAGUGUAUUUGUGUGUUAAAAUCAUUGAUUUGUUAAAGGGAAACUUUAAAAGUAUUCCAUCACUAUUGUAAUUCUGUAUUGGGAUUUUUCUUUCAUUUAUUAAGUACACCAGGCAGCUUAGAAAGUGAAAGCCCUGGGAUUGUAGAAGAGAAAAGCAUGUAAGACCCUCUCUCCUCAAGCCAGGAUUAAGAUGUAGCAGCCAUUAAAUUGACAUAUUGUCAAACAAAACCCCAACAGUUCCUGGUGAGCAUAAAGUGGAAUUGGUUUCUUAGGAGGUCUCCUGCACUGUUUGCGCAUGUCUGAGGCAGCGUGUGGUGUGGGGGGGGGGGGGAGGGGGGGCGGGUGCUUUUGUGUCCUCAGGACUCUGAGUUGGACAACUUACUCCCUGUGGAGUGGAGACAGCCACGUGGGCUGCAGAGCUGUCUCCAUCACUGGGAAAGCCCACGUGUAGCUGCUUCCAGGGGUAUGCUCUGGCUCCAGGCUCAACCCAGUGUCUGAGAGUUAACUGUUUUCCAUCUGACAUCAGCUCGCUGUCUGACACACAGAUGUCUUCAACAGGAGUAGAAAUACUGGUAGACAUGACAGAGGGGUUGUUUUUCAAGCUUAAUGUGCCUUCACUGUGACUCCUCUAGGGCCGUCCUAUAGAACUUUCUGAGAUGCCAGAAAUGUCCCACAUUUGUACUGAGCACUGGAAAUGUUGCUAGUGUGACUGAGGAACUGAAUUUUUAACUUUAUUUAAUUUUAACUCAUUUUUACGUAAAUAGCUGCAUAUGGCUAGUGGCUGUUGUAUUGGACAGCACAGUUCUAGCCUCAAAUGCCACCAGCUUCCUUUGGAAAAAUAAGUUUUAUUAAAAUGUUUAUUCUAUUUGACACUCAGCCUUUACAGAUAAUCCUCUUGAAUAUUAUAUCCGCUUAAGGAUUUGGAGAAAUACAGUGUAGACGUUAUUUGUUAGAAUACGCCUACAGGACUUUUUUGUUAAAAAAUUUUAUCAGUCCUACCUCCUGGGGAGGAAAUAUAGGCUUUCUUAUUUCUGAGAGUCACAAUUUCUGUGCUGCAGCCACCAGCACUUCCUUUUCUCCUGAGUUCCAGUGAGCAGCAAUAAAACUCCCCUUCCUGCCCCGAAGCUGAACAUUUCCCAGGAACCACAAAUAAGAGGACACAUCUGUGUCUCAGCUUCCUGCUCUCUGGUCCUACACCAGCAACGUCCUCUACUGCAUCGCUUUUCUUCUGUCAGCACUUUCCAGGUGUUCCUCUGACCGUUUGGCAGCUUCAGCAUCACGUGCGUACUUAGCAGUGCGUCCCGCGCAGAAGAGGCCACGGUGCGACGUGUGUGCGUGCAGGUGCUGCGCACCGUGGCCUCCACCCCGCGUGCUUCGGGAAGGUGGUGGUCUUUCCUUGCAGCUCAGUUCGGUGCCGGACGCAUGGAGGGGUCCUUUGUCUCAUCCCUCAGCCUCAGAGCAGUAUCAUGCAAAGCACAUAUCAGAAGGAAAUAGAUUUUAUUCAAAGGUCCAUGGGGUGGCGGUAGGGGUCAUCUUAGAGUUCCUGUCACUAACAGAAAAUUUCUCCUUAGAGCUUUAGAAAACCUGUGUAGUUACCCCUGAAGCAUUUUUCUUUUUCUGCCCUCAUCAGAGGAAAUUGUGGGUAUGCAUCCUUGUAUUCCAACAAGUCCACCACCAACAGCAAUGAAAACAACAGCUACAAUUUAUCGAGUAAUAACUUACAUGGCACUUUACAAGUGUUAUUACCUUUGGUCUCACACUUUAUCUCUAGUUUAAGGAUGAGAAGCCUGAGGUUUGGAGGUGUUAAGAAAUUCAACAUCUGCCUUGUGGGUUUUUUUUUUUUAUUUUAAAUUUUAUUUUGAAUGAAUUAUAGAUCCACAGGAGGUUUCAAGGGUAGUAUAGAGCAGGGUAGAGCAUGAUUCUAGUACAGUAGCAAAACCAGGACUCUCACAAUGUGUGUGUGUUUGUGUAUGUGUGCAGUUCCAUGUCACACGUGUCGAUUUGUGUAACCACCAAUGCAAUCAAGAUACAGAACUAUUCCAUCACUACGAUCUCCCUCCUAUUACCCCUUUAUAGUCACAACCACUCCUUCCACCCGUUCUUACUCCCUGGCAACCACUAAUAUGUCAUUUCAAGAAUGAUAUAUAAAUGGAAUCAUAAGUGUGUGACCUUUUGAAGUUGGCUUUUUUCACUCAGCACAACGCUGUUGCGAUUCAUUCAAAGUAUUGUAUGUAUCAAUAGUUCAUUCCGUUUUUUUGCUGAGUAGUAUUCCAUGGUGUGGAUGUACCACAGUUUGAUUAACCAC